CGGAGGGUGCGAGCGUUAUCCGGAAUUACUGGGUUUAAAGGGUGCGUAGGCGGCCAUGUAAGUCAGGAGUGAAAGUUUGCGGCUCAACCGUAAAAUUGCUUUUGAUACUGCAUGGCUGGAAUCAGGAUGAGGUCAGCGGAAUGUGGCAUGUAGCGGUGAAAUGCGUAGAUAUGCCAUAGAACACCAAUUGCGAAGGCAGCUGGCUAGACCUGUAUUGACGCUGAGGCACGAAAGCGUGGGGAGCGAACAGGAUUAGAUACCCUGGUAGUCCACGCCCUAAACGAUGCUUACUCGACGUAUGGCACUAGUUGUUGUGCGUCCAAGGGAAACCGUUAAGUAAGCCACCUGGGGAGUACGACCGCAAGGUUG
rnacentral:rRNA from 1 species